GAUGAACGCUGGCGGCGUGCCUAAUACAUGCAAGUCGAGCGAACGGACGAGAAGCUUGCUUCUCUGAUGUUAGCGGCGGACGGGUGAGUAACACGUGGAUAACCUACCUAUAAGACUGGGAUAACUUCGGGAAACCGUAGCUAAUACCGGAUAAUAUUUUGAACCGCAUGGUUCAAAAAUGAAAGACGGUCUUGCUGUCACUUAUAGAUGGAUCCGCGCUGCAUUAGCUAGUUGGUAAGGUAACGGCUUACCAAGGCAACGAUGCAUAGCCGACCUGAGAGGGUGAUCGGCCACACUGGAACUGAGACACGGUCCAGACUCCUACGGGAGGCAGCAGUAGGGAAUCUUCCGCAAUGGGCGAAAGCCUGACGGAGCAACGCCGCGUGAGUGAUGAAGGUCUUCGGAUCGUAAAACUCUGUUAUUAGGGAAGAACAUAUGUGCAAGUAACUGUGCACAUCUUGACGGUACCUAAUCAGAAAGCCACGGCUAACUACGUG
rnacentral:rRNA from 1 species